AGAUUGAACGCUGGCGGCAUGCCUUACACAUGCAAGUCGAACGGCAGCACGGGAGCAAUCCUGGUGGCGAGUGGCGAACGGGUGAGUAAUACAUCGGAACGUGCCCAAUCGUGGGGGAUAACGCAGCGAAAGCUGUGCUAAUACCGCAUAAGAUCUACGGAUGAAAGCAGGGGAUCGUAAGACCUUGCGCGAAUGGAGCGGCCGAUGGCAGAUUAGGUAGUUGGUGAGGUAAAGGCUCACCAAGCCUUCGAUCUGUAGCUGGUCUGAGAGGACGACCAGCCACACUGGGACUGAGACACGGCCCAGACUCCUACGGGAGGCAGCAGUGGGGAAUUUUGGACAAUGGGCGAAAGCCUGAUCCAGCCAUGCCGCGUGCAGGAUGAAGGCCUUCGGUUGUAAACUGCUUUUGUACGGAACGAAAGUCUCUUUCUAAUAAAGAGGAUCAUGACGUACCGUAAGAAUAAGACGACCGACUAACUACGUGACCG
rnacentral:rRNA from 1 species